CUCCCACUGCCUGCCUGGCUCCCCUUUCUUCCUGGCCCGGUCACUAUUGGCCUGCUGAGGUCCACGUGGCCAGCCCCCAAUCCUAUGACUGAGAGUGGGAGGCCCAGAGGUCUAGGCCACUCGCCUUGUGAAGCAGGGGGAAGAAGGGUGGAGUCACCCACCUUUGAACUGGAGACAUUCACCGGUGUCACGGUGACAUUCAGCGACACACUGAGUCACAGCGUGGGCACCGAGGAGCUCCAGAUGUGGUUGCACGAUUCCUGGCUGGGCUCCAGCACCUGGCGCUCCCGCCCCGCACACCCCACACCCACCUCCUUGCGUCAACCCCAGCUCUGCUGGCGCUGCCACCUGCACAGCCUGCGGUGAGAGGGCUGACAUCAACACGAGCGGCAUGACCUGGGUGUCCCCGGAGCAGGUCGCCAGCACUGGAGAGUCCACUGCUUGGCCACUACAGCAUGUCUCCUAACCCCAUGGCGGGACCCAGCAAAGUCAAGUCCACCCCAGCUCCAGGUCCUCCCUCCCCUGCCUUCCCUGACUUGUCCUGCCUCAGCCUCCAUUUACUGGAGUGUGAAGUGGCCAAGCGCCACCUUUACCACCCUGCCUCUCCUGCUGUCUGAGGUUAGAGUCGGGCCUCAGAGCUCGGACUCUCGGACCCACCAGCGUUCCUCCCGCUCCAUCAGGCACUGCCUCCUCCUGGGCCCCACGGGCCACACACGGUCGCUUUGAAGAUGCCCAGCCAGGCCCAGCUGGCUGCCCUGUGACCUGGCCAGCCCACAGAGGUCCACACCCUGGGUGUCACAGCCCCGAAGGGUCGCAGAGCACGAGAUGGGGAGCACAUGGCUUGGAGAGUUUCGCUGAAUUUUGGACACUGAAAUUCAGUAAAUUCUUUGCUUUUGAUUGG